AGGUUCCUCUUGUUCACUGCCGUGGCUGUGGUCCUGAUCCUGGCCAUUGUGGUUGCAGAUGAACCCUUGACUUCUCCAGACCCCACUUCCCCGGGGGGCAGCCAGACCCCAGAACCUCUGGUGAAUUCAGAGCCCGUCCUCUCUGGCAAAUCUGAGGCCUCAGGAGAAAGUGAGAUCGGAAGCCCCCUGGAACCACAGGUUACCACAG